AGUGAAUAUUAGGACAUCGCUUCGGCGAGUUCGACCCUCCACUUUUCAACUCUGUGCAUUUAUUGGCGGAAUCGAGCGAGCAAUCGUGAAGUUCUGCGUCUCAUUUUUAAACACUAGUCAAAGUAUGUAACGAAAUAUCGAAAUAAAAAAAAACUUUCAACAACGGAUCUCUUGGCUCUCGCAUCGAUGAAGAACGCAGCGAAAUGUGAUAAGUAAUGUGAAUUGCAGAAUUCAGUGAAUCAUCGAAUCUUUGAACGCACCUUGCGCUCCCUGGUAUUCCGGGGAGCAUGUCUGUUUGAGUGUCAUGAACUCUUCAACCCACCAGUUCCUUGUAGACUGAUUGGUGUUUGGAUUUUGAGCGCUGCUGGUCUUCGGAUCUAGCUCGUUCGUAAUAUAUUAGCAUCUCUAAUUCGACUUCGGAUUGACUCAGUGUAAUAGACUAUUCGCUGAGGACACACCUAGUGUGGCCGAACGUUGAUCUCAGUAGAAGCUUCCAACUAUUGUAGUCAAUUUUAGAUUAGACCUCAGAUCAGGCAGGAUUACCCGCUGAACUUAA
rnacentral:rRNA from 1 species